rnacentral:lncRNA from 1 species
GAAAAACUUCAUUCUCAGAUCCAACUUAAACCUCCCCUGUCUCACCUGAAGACCACUCCUGCAUCUCCUAUUACAACCCACCCUCGGAAACAGCCAUUCCCCCUCCUGCUUUGGCGCUCCCUUUAAGUACUGGAAGGCCACCAGGAGGUCUCCAUGGAGCCUUCUCUUCGCCAAGCUAAACCAUCCCAGUUCCCUCCACCUUUCCUCAUACGAGAGGUGCUCCAGCCCUCUGACCAUCUUAGUGGCCCUCCUCUGGACCCACUCCAAGAACUUCCCGUCUUGAGGAGAAGAGAGAAUAAAGGUAAGGCAGACGCUGAGAAGGACAAGAGCAAAAGCAGAGAAGAACAGGCACAGGUAAGAAAGAAGAGCAGAAGAGGAGGAGAAGAAAAAAUGAGGAUGAAGGUAAGAAAAACAAGCGGGCAGGGAGAAGAGCUGAAGAAGGGAUGAGUGGGUGCAGGUAAGACCGAACAGCAGAAGUGGAGAGGAGCUGAAGAGGAGAAGUAUGAAAAGUAGAGCAAAAGUAGAGGAGGUGGAAAGAGAGGAAAGAGGCAAGAGAGAAGAGAGGAAGAGCAGAGAAAGAACAGAGCAGUAGAGAAGAGCGGACAGUGCUGUGAAAAGAAGAACAGUGCCACAGAGCAGGUGAAGAAGAACAAAGAGCAGAAGAGGAG